rnacentral:rRNA from 1 species
AGUCUUCUGCCCAUUGUAUUUAAAAGGCUGCAGUAUAUUAACUGUACAAAGGUAGCAAAAUAAAUAGUUUUUUAAUUGAAAACUUGAAUGAAAGAGUUAAUAAAAUAUAGAUUGUUUCAAAUAUUGAAUUUAAAUAAAAAGUAAAAAUGCUUUUAUUUAUUUAUUAGACGAUAAGACCCUAAGAAUUUGAUAAUUUAAAUUAUUUAAAAAAAUUAUUUAUUUUUAAAUUAUUUUAUUGGGAGGAUAAUUAAAUAACUUUAAUUUUAAAAAAUAUAAAUAAAUAAAUUAAAUGAUUAAUUUUUUAAUUAUAAGAAUUAAUUACCUUAGGGAUAACAGCGUAAUAAUUUUGAAGAGUUCAUAUUGAUAAAAUUGUUUGCGACCUCGAUGUUGAAUUAAAAUAAAAAUUAAAUGAAGAUAUUUAAAUUUUUAGUCUGUUCGACUAUUAAAAUUUUAC